UCCCUGGUGGUCCAGUGGUUAAGAUCCUGAGCUGUCAACGCAGGGGACACGGGUUUGAUCCCUGGCCAGAGAA
rnacentral:tRNA from 1 species